rnacentral:lncRNA from 1 species
CCAAUUCUUUAUGAUGCAGACAUAGGGAGGCUACCUUUUAUAAUAGAGGAAAAAUUAUAUAGAGAACUGAGCAAGUGAAGAUCUGGGGGUCAGACUUCUGGUCCCCAUUAAGGGCAUUACUGCUGAUAUAUUGAAAAAUCUUAGAGGAAUAAUGUUAUGGAAGCUGACUUUUGGUAGCCAUAGUUCUAAAAACGAUGAAAUGCGGGGUUUCACAAGGGAACCCUAUGUGGGUGUAUCUAAGUACAAAGCACUGUCAUUACUUUGUGGUGAGAGCUGUGAUGAUUGGUUAUUUUGUAUAGAACUCUGGAGAUCCAUUGGUUGUUGGGAUGAAAGAAUGAAUCCAUUAGCAUCUGAGAACCUCAUAAAACCUGAGAUCCCUUGUUAGCCUGGCCAUGAGGAACACAGAAUGCAUAUGGCAUCCAACAGGAUCUUUUCUAUGGGGAUAUCUUGGGUGGUUACAUCAAGUUCAUGCAGAAUAGGCAGGGGCUUCACUUUUUCCCCUUAGUUUGUUGGGCAAGUUGACACUUCUAUUUCUGUUGGGGACAUGGGAGGGAAAAGGGCUGUUUGAGUUGUGUGAGGGCAUUUCACUGGGAGAUGGACUUAGAGAAAAGGAGCCUCAGCUGGAAGACAAUGAUGAAGCCAAUUCAGAGAUUGGGGAAUGGGCAAGGGGCUGAGAGGGUCUAUGGUCUUACCUUCCUACCAGCUGUGGCCAAUUCUUUAUAUGGUGACAAGUAAUCAAAUGGCAACCAGAGACCAUAUUCUGCAAGGCCAAAUACAGAGCAGGAAGGCUGACAGGCAGCAUAGCUUUCUCUUGCCUUAUAGCUACUGCAAGUCAGUCCCAACAUAUUGGCACAAAAUAAUUUAUCUGAAAUAACUGAUCAAGGUAACUAGGAGUAGUUACAGCUGCUUUUGGAUCCCCUCCAGAGAGGUGCUCUUUCUCCCUGUUCCUGUAUCCCCUCUUCUAUGUCCCCCUCUCCUGAUCUCCAAGCCUGAUCUCUGACCAUAUUGUCAGAUUAGAUUCAGUUUAUUAUAUCCCUGAUUUUCACCCAUGUGUGUGAAAGGCCCUUACGUGUCUGCCAGGAUGAGAUUUUCAGGAUCCAUCAAAUCCCGUCCCUCUUGCUGCAUCCUCACUCUCCUCUAGUUUUGUGCAAUUGUAAGUAACCAAGCUAAUUUGCCCUACAUGGUGUUUCUAAAUGACAUAAAAAACCUACAGUCUUUCAAGCCUGACUGCUGUCUAUUGAUAUUAAUUUUUGCUGAAAUAUUUACACAGACAUACACGGGCCUUAGAUUACCAGGAAGAGUUAGUAACAACAACAAUAACAACAAACAGCUUUUUGUUUGGAAGGGAGGCAAGGGGCUUAGGAAUUCUUGUUUCUUUUCUCUGAAUAGCUUUAGUAAUUCCCAAUUACUAAAUAAAGCAGGAGAAAAGAGGAAGAAAGAUAGGGCGAGGGAAAGGAACAAAAGAGGAAAAGAAAGAGAAGGAAGGGGAGGAGGAGUAGAAGGAAAGAGAAGACAGAAAGACAAAGGCAGAGAGAGCAAUUUAAAGAGAAAAACAAAGGUGAAAGAGAAAAGGAAUCAAUUUCUACAAAGGAGAGUAAAACAAAACGUUAUUCCUAAUAAGUUUAUGCCUAUUAAAAAGGAAGUGGGGAUGAGACACAGCUGAGCCACUGAAACAGUCUCAUCAAUCACAGUGGCUCACAGCUGUAAUCUCAGCACGAACGGGUGAACCAAGGAAACUGCACUCAAAGAAAUGUCUUGUAACGGCUCUAACUUUGGUUUGGCAUGUCACCUUUCUAACGAUAAAUUGCCAUAUAGGUAGAAAUCCAUUCCCUGCUCUAAAGCCCAACUAAGGUUAUCUGUAGUUCCACUGUUCCUUGCUCUUAGGCAAUUAAGUCAUCACAUAGGUGAAACAUGUCAUUUCAAUGGAAGAGAAGAAGUGGGUGCUUUUAAAGCCUUUUCUUUCCAACCUAUGAACCCCACAACCAACUCCGAGAUGCUGGUAGGCAGUUAAUUUCUCCAUUUUGCCAGAAGAUAAAGUUUAAGCUUAAACAAAGACAGCUCUUCUGUUGCCCAACAGUGGAAGUGCAGAGGCCGGAAAGUACGAGGUGUAGAAGAGGGAGCUAUGAGAAAGAGCAGAUGGGAAGAUGGGGACGGAACAGAAGAAAGCUAUUAUGUCAAGAA